ACCCAAUGUGAACGUUACCAAACUGUUGCCUCGGCGGGAUCUCUGCCCCGGGUGCGUCGCAGCCCCGGACCAAGGCGCCCGCCGGAGGACCAACCAAAACUCUUAUUGUAUACCCCCUCGCGGGUUUUUUACUAUCUGAGCCAUCUCGGCGCCCCUCGUGGGCGUUUCGAAAAUGAAUCAAAACUUUCAACAACGGAUCUCUUGGUUCUGGCAUCGAUGAAGAACGCAGCGAAAUGCGAUAAGUAAUGUGAAUUGCAGAAUUCAGUGAAUCAUCGAAUCUUUGAACGCACAUUGCGCCCGCCAGUAUUCUGGCGGGCAUGCCUGUCCGAGCGUCAUUUCAACCCUCGAACCCCUCCGGGGGGUCGGCGUUGGGGAUCGGCCCUUUACGGGGCCGGCCCCGAAAUACAGUGGCGGUCUCGCCGCAGCCUCUCCUGCGCAGUAGUUUGCACACUCGCAUCGGGAGCGCGGCGCGUCCACAGCCGUUAAACACCCCAAACUUCUGAAAUGUUGACCUCGGAUCAGGUAGGAAUACCCGCUGAACUUAAGCAUAUC
rnacentral:sRNA from 1 species